rnacentral:tRNA from 1 species
UGGGGUGUGGCUCAGUGGUAGAGCACUUACCUAGCAUGUGUGAGGCACUGAGUUUGAUCCUUAGCACCGCAU